rnacentral:rRNA from 1 species
UACGGGGGGGGCAAGCGUUGUUCGGAAUUACUGGGCGUAAAGGGCUCGUAGGCGGCCAACUAAGUCAGACGUGAAAUCCCUCGGCUUAACCGGGGAACUGCGUCUGAUACUGGAUGGCUUGAGAUUGGGAGAGGGAUGCGGAAUUCCAGGUGUAGCGGUGAAAUGCGUAGAUAUUUGGAGGAACACCGGUGGCGAAGGCGGCAUCCUGGACCAACACUGACGCUGAGUGAGCGAAAGCCAGGGGAGCAAACGGG